AAUGUAGCAAUACAUUAAGAGGCGAACGGGUGAGUAACACGUAGGUAAUCUGCCCCAAGGACUGGGAUACCCAAGCGAAAGUUUGGCUAAUACCGGAUAUGAGGAAACUUAAAAGCAGCGAUUGCUGCACCAUGGGAUGAGCCUGCGGCGCAUUAGCUAGUUGGUGAGAUAAGAGCCCACCAAGGCAAUGAUGCGUAGCCGACCUGAGAGGGUGAACGGCCACAUUGGAACUGAGACACGGUCCAGACUCC
rnacentral:rRNA from 1 species